CAGUAGCCACGGGAAUACGAAGGGGGCUAGCGUUGCUCGGAAUGACUGGGCGUAAAGGGUGCGUAGGCGGCGGCCAAAGUCAGGCGUGAAAUUCCCGGGCUCAACCUGGGGGCUGCGUUUGAUACUUGGUUGCUUGAGUGGGGAAGAGGGUCGUGGAAUUCCCAGUGUAGAGGUGAAAUUCGUAGAUAUUGGGAAGAACACCGGUGGCGAAGGCGGCGACCUGGUCCUUUACUGACGCUGAGGCGCGAAAGCGUGGGGAGCAAACAGGAUUAGAUACCCCCGUAGUCCCUGUCUCUUAUAC
rnacentral:rRNA from 1 species